CUUCCUGUUCUGAAAAAUCCUACUUUGUUGUUUUACAAGUAUUUUACACAGUAUUUUAAACAGACUUAUAUCUUUUUUUAUAAUCAAAGAAACGGUUAAAAUGUGUACAGACAUUUAACCGAUUACAGAUGUAUAUGAUACCUGGUAACCAGCACCCCAUCCACUUCGGUACACGAUGGGGAGACGCUAUUAGACAAUAUCAGAUUAUCGUCCACUAAGAUGAGGUUUACUCAGUCAAUAAAUAGUUUCAGCUUAUAUGGUGUUUACGCUGCAUAUUGUGCAAGUUCAAUAUAUUAUUCAAAGUGUUUUCAGCAAUAACUAGGGCCAGAUAUUGGAAGGUAAUAUACCACUAAAUUUAUCAAAUGUUCUCUGGAACAAUCUGUGAAGCUAAAAUGGAUGUUUUUGGACUUCAGAUAUUAUUCUUAACUGCUAGCAUAAUUGCAAACUGUAUAAACAAUUGUGACUUGAUAGGUUUGUCUUACUGUGUUGAAAAGACCAGGAAUGUGAUUACAUACAGUCAACUUACAGUCUAUGAUAAUUUUGUUAAAAGCUUUAAACAUAUUCAGAAGAAACAGAAAAAUACAUAUGUUUAUAAUUCUAAAAGUAGCAACAGCGUUUCUUUCUGUUUAUUUGUUGUUAUAUGGUGAUAUACAUCCGUGCCGUGGUUCCAUGGCUAGUGACCCAGAAGAAUCUACAAAUAAAUUCCGUUUUUCUGAAAAGCGGGGACUUCAUUUUUUCAUCUUAAGCUACAUUCUAUAGCCAAAAUAUCGACAUUUUAGUGUUCGUCUUUACAACCAUUUUGCGAAUUAUUACUGAAAAGUUACACAAUUUGAUGAAUGAAACACCUGUUGAAAAUGACUAAGCUCUCUUUUGAAGUAUAUAUCUUGAAAAAUAAAUGUCAACUUGUACCCGAAAUUCUGGACAGAAGAAAGAAAAAAUAUUUUUAGGAGGUCAUGUUUUUUUCAAAAUCGAGAACUGCUACACACAAGCAUUAUUCUGUCUAAAAUUGUGACCAAAACCUACCUAGAUAAUUUAUCUACUUCCUGCGAGCAAUAAAUUUUUAAACAAAUUCAAUGAAAACGCCUGUCAGAGCCGAUCAUUUCAGAUAGUUUUUAUUUUCUCUUUUUUUUUUUCAUGCUGACAUCAUCGUUUCACUACUAAUUUGACAUAAAUCUACGUAUUUAUGACAAAAAUCCAUAAUAUCAUUACAAGGGCAAUACACACAAAACUCGGAUGUGUCAAUUUUAUUUUUAGAAGCGGUUGCAGUCACAAAGUAAUUGACAGAAAAAUAAAUGUAAAUUUCAGCAUAUUUUUUCACACAAAAAUGUGAUAGUGCGUAGAAAUGUGAUCAGGCUGAGCACAUGGCCUUAUGGAUUACAUGAUUUUAGGCGCUUAACGUGAAAACAGUUGAAGAACAUGAUUCACACACAUUAAAUUUAUGCUUAAACCUAUAUUCGAUACAUUAUGCAUAUGAUUAUAAUUCACGAUAAUAUCGCUUAUGGAAGUAACUGGAAUAAAUUUGGACUAUUUCCUUCGGAAGUUUACAUGACUGUGCUGUCAAACGGCGUCCCGUGUGUUUACAUAAUUUGACAGGUCGAGUUGAUCUGGCAGGAACGAUAUCAUGAAGAAAGAAUACCUGCACCAUGGAAAUAAUGUCAUUUGUUAACUGUCUGAACCUGCGCAAGGCGUGCACAUUGGUCAACAUUUCUUUUUCAACAGGAAUAGCCUACAUGAUGGUGACCAACAACAGUACUGACACUGACAGAUGAAGAUAUAAGAUAAACCAAAGAAAUAAUGGGACAAUGAAUGCUAUAAUUGGCAAGAAGAAGACUGCCAUAUUUACACACCAUUGUAUACAG